rnacentral:lncRNA from 1 species
UAAAAGAGAGAUGUACUUAACUAUUGAUCCAUUUAACUUUAUACAAUUAUUACAACUUGCAUUCUUCCAAAACUGUACAACGUAUAUACAAUCCUCUCAAACCUCACCCUAUAUGUCACGCCCCGAGACCGCUACCAAUUUGGUCCGAUCCGGGCGCGUCGAACAGACGCCGAACGGACAGCACCUCCCCUGUCCGCCCAAGGCUAAACAACAGGAUCAUGUACAACAAGUUCCCAGGAAAUCAACUUGAAUACAUACAUGAUCAAAACAAUAGCGAGGGCACAACCAGUGCCGAACAUUACAAGAGCAAGCAUCACAAGCGUAAACAAGUGAAUAAAAGAGAGAUAUAACUAUCUAUUACAUCACAUUUGACAUUCAACAUUUACAUCCAUUCAACCUUUAAUACAACUUGGUUACAUUCAAGCUUCCAAAAUGAAUACAUAAUCAUAUCACAUAUAUAUAAUGCUAGCUAUCCAAAAUACAUCAUGUCAUCUAUAACCAUGCACACGAGGGUGCUCUAGUACAAUAGGAAAGCUCUACUAGCUAGCUAGGGCGCUANNNN